AGAAUCAACGCUGGCGGCGUGCCUAAUACAUGCAAGUCGAACGCGAAAGUCCCGCAAGGGAUGAGUAGAGUGGCAAAACGGGUGAGUAACGCGUGGGUGACCUGCCUUCGAGUGGGGGAUAACGUUUCGAAAGGAACGCUAAUACCGCAUGACAUCCUGUCUUUUAACAGACGGAGAUCGAAAGCCGGGGAUCGCAAGACCUUGGCGCUUGAAGACGGGCCCGCGUCCGAUUAGCUAGUUGGUGGGUAAUGGCUCACCAAGGCAUCGAUCGGUA
rnacentral:rRNA from 1 species